rnacentral:rRNA from 1 species
UCCGUAGGUGAACCUGCGGAGGGAUCAUUACUGAGUUUACGCUCUACAACCCUUUGUGAACAUACCUAUAACUGUUGCUUCGGCGGGUAGGGUCUCCGUGACCCUCCCGGCCUCCCGCCCCCGGGCGGGUCGGCGCCCGCCGGAGGAUAACCAAACCCUGAUUUAACGACGUUUCUUCUGAGUGGUACAAGCAAAUAAUCAAAACUUUUAACAACGGAUCUCUUGGUUCUGGCAUCGAUGAAGAACGCAGCGAAAUGCGAUAAGUAAUGUGAAUUGCAGAAUUCAGUGAAUCAUCGAAUCUUUGAACGCACAUUGCGCCCGCCAGCAUUCUGGCGGGCAUGCCUGUUCGAGCGUCAUUUCAACCCUCAAGCUCUGCUUGGUGUUGGGGCCCUACAGCUGAUGUAGGCCCUCAAAGGUAGUGGCGGACCCUCCCGGAGCCUCCUUUGCGUAGUAACUUUACGUCUCGCACUGGGAUCCGGAGGGACUCUUGCCGUAAAACCCCCAAUUCUCCAAAGGUUGACCUCGGAUCAGGUAGGAAUACCCGCUGAACUUAAGCAUAUCAAUAAGCGGAGGA